CCCCCCCCCGCGAGCGCGCGCACACACACACACUUGGCAACGGCGGAAGGACGCGGCGUCUUUACCCAAAGAUUGAUCCAAAAGCCACCUCCCGCUGAGCCAGGAGUGCAGUAUUGAUAAAUAUGGAAAGGACUGAAGCUGCUGUGAUGCUUGUGGGGGGCCCCUGUGAGCUGACUACUCACUACAGCCCAGCUACGGGCGGGGAAAAGGCAAAGAACAGCAGUGGCCUCUGGUGGUUAUAGGCUAGUUCUGUGCUGAAAAUUAAGAUUGCCGGUCGUUUCAGUAGUGAACUACAACCUGCAAGUACAUGAGACAAGGGGACAGCUGUUCACAUGAUUUCAGUUGGACCCUAGGGACAGGACUCAAAAACAAAGAACCCCAACUGAAUCAGUAUCUAGAAAAACUUUGCACAAGCUCAUUAUUUUAACUACUACUCCUGAUUUUGUUCUAACUUUGUUAUCAGGAUUAUCUGUAUUUUUUGUUGAGGUCUUCUGCUUUAGGAUUAAGAACUUUGAAUCUUGAGUUUUGGUUCAGUUUUAAAAAGAACUGAUGCACACUUUGCAGGAAUGUAAGUGGGUUUGUCUGUGCAGGCAACUUCGGUCCAGACUGAUAGUAAUGAAAAUUGUACCUCAUUUUUCAAGUCUAAUGCAAAAGCCAACUUUAAUUUCUAUUUUAGGUUUUCAACAUCAUUGUUCCCUGAGCGUUCUUUCAGUGUUCAGCAGCAGCACAUACAGUCAUGGUUAAUUCUGUACUGCAAAAAUCUGUGCAUCAUCUGUUCCAGAUUUAUGUGGUGUGUUUGUUGUUGCCUAUCAGUCUUCUAAGACUUCUGCAUCACUGUCAUUCUGUACAAAACUAGUUCUGCAUAAAAGUAGAAAAGACAUCAGAUUUUACUGCAGAUCCUCAAGGGGCCUGUGGUACUGGGAGACAAAUAACAGUUUAUGAAGGGUAUAUGGAAUAGGUGUUGAAAAGCAUAUGAAAAUAACUUUUUAUUAAUAAGAAAAUUCAGUGGUAAAUCAUAUGCUUAAAAUAUUGUCUGUAACUUUACAGCCAUUUUCAAUCUAUCAAAGCUGUUUAAUCUCUGUGUAAUUUCCCUUCUUUGUCUAUGUGAUUGACAUCAUAUUUGUCACCUGCACUUUGCAACUCCUGGAAGAAAGGCACUGCAUGCAUAGCUAAAACUGUUGCUCUACUUGUUAGUGAAUCUAUUGUCUACAUUUGCAGAGAUGAUGAUAUUUCAAAAUAUUUAAAAUUUGUUGUGGUUUGUAAAUAAUAAAAAACCUAUUACAGUC